UGUCAGUGGAACUGAACCAUUGUAUGGAGAUUGGUGGAGGACGGGACGAACAUAUGGUCCCCCAAAAUAGACUUGGGUAGAAGAAUUGAUAAAAAUAAUUCUAAAGAACCAACACACCAGCAUUAAGGAACCAGAGCUCACUGGACGCAAUAUAUUGCAUUGUGAACACAUACAAACUAUGAAUGGAGAAGAGAAUUGGUUGCUUACUUGCUAUGGCUAAUGUGGGGAGAGAAUAGGUUGCUUACUGGCUAUUGCUAGGAAGGGGAUUAGAAUGGGUUGCUUACUGGCUAUUGCUUAGAAGGGGAUGAGAAUGGGUUGUUUACUGGCUAUUGCUUAGAAGGGGAUGAGAAUGGGUUGUUUACUGGCUAUUGCUUAGAAGGGGAUGAGAAUGGGUUGUUUACUGGCUAUUGCUGAGAAGGGGAUGAGAAUGGGUUGUUUACUGAGAAUAGGUUGUUUACUGGCUAUUGCUUAGAAGGGGAUGAGAAUGGGUUGUUUACUGGCUAUUGCUUAGAAGGGGAUGAGAAUGGGUUGUUUACUGGCUAUUGCUAGGAAGGGGAUGAGAAUGGUUUGCUUACUGGCUAUUGCUUAGAAGGGGAUAAGAAUGGGUUGUUUACUGAGAAUAGGUUGUUUACUGGCUAUUGCUUAGAAGGGGAUGAGAAUGGGUUGUUUACUGGCUAUUGCUGAGAAGGGGAUGAGAAUGGGUUGUUUACUGGCUAUUGCUUAGAAGGGGAUGAGAAUGGGUUGUUUACUUGCUAUUGCUGAGAAGGGGAUGAGAAUGGGUUGUUUACUGGCUAUUGCUGAGAAGGGGAUGAGAAUGCGUUGUUUACUUGCUAUGGCUGAGAAGGGGAUGAGAAUGGGUUGUUUACUGGCUAUUGCUGAGAAGGGGAUGAGAAUGGGUUGUUUACUGAGAAUAGGUUGUUUACUGGCUAUUGCUUAGAAGGGGAUGAGAAUGGGUUGUUUACUGGCUAUUGCUGAGAAGGGGAUGAGAAUGGGUUGUUUACUGAGAAUAGGUUGUUUACUGGCUAUUGCUUAGAAGGGGAUGAGAAUGGGUUGUUUACUGGCUAUUGCUUAGAAGGGGAUGAGAAUGGGUUGUUUACUGGCUAUUGCUAGGAAGGGGAUGAGAAUGGUUUGCUUACUGGCUAUUGCUUAGAAGGGGAUAAGAAUGGGUUGUUUACUGAGAAUAGGUUGUUUACUGGCUAUUGCUUAGAAGGGGAUGAGAAUGGGUUGAUUACUUGCUUGGACAUUUCUCAAUACAAACGUAGACAGUGUUGAAAGACUCUGGCCUCUAAGUGUACUUACCAAGUUGGUCUCACUUGUGAAUGAACUCCCUUGACCAUAUUAUUUCCCUUCUGCCCAGCCCUUACUGUAAUUUGUUGCAGGGUAGAGAUAUACACUUGUGAAGGAACUCCCUGGACCAUAUUAUUUUGCCUUCUGCCCAGACCUUACUGUAAAGUGUGGCAGGGUAGAGAUAUACACCAUUAUCCCAUGCUUGCUGACUAAUGAAAAUGUGAUUAUUUGAAGCCUACUGAGCCCCAUAAGGUCCAGGUUAGAAUAGGUCUUCAGCAACCCUUGCUUGUCGUAAAAGGCGACUAUGCUUGUUGUAAGAGGCGACUAAAGGUAUCAGGUGGUCAAGCUCGCUGACUCUGUUGAUGCAUGUCAUCGUAUCCUAUUUGUGUGGAUCGAUGCUCAUGCUGUCAACCACUGGAUUGUCUGGACCACCAUCAUACACAGGGAUGAGAAUCUUCCGCGGUUCCGCAAAUUUUAGUGAACACAAACCUAUUGUCAUGAACCACCUAUCAACCUCCCCAAGUUAUGGACCACGCUCCAUUGAAAAGAAAUUUCAGCUGAAAAGGAAAAUAUCCAUUCUGAUCCCUGCAUAUGGCUGGAAUAUUGCUGAGUGCGGCGUUAAACAGCAAACAAUCUAGCCUGCUGAAGUUAGUUGCUCAUGCUGUCACCCACUAGUUGUCUGUCGCAGAAUCAUUUUUUAACAGAUUGGCUAUUGCUGACUGUGAUGUUAAGGAACUUAAGACUGACUUCCUUGU